rnacentral:rRNA from 1 species
GUAGGGAAUAUUGCGCAAUGGGGGAAACCCUGACGCAGCGACGCCGCGUGAGUGAUGAAGGCCUUCGGGUCGUAAAGCUCUGUUGCAGGGGAAUAAAAAAAUGAAGGUACCCUGUGAGGAAGGAUCGGCUAACUUCGUGCCAGCAGCCGCGGUAAGACGAGGGAUCCUAGCGUUGCUCGGAAUCAUUGGGCGUAAAGAGGGCGUAGGUGGCUUGGUAAGUCCGGUGUGAAAGCCCAGGGCUCAACCCUGGAAGUGCAUUUGAUACUGCUGAGCUUGAGUGUCGGAGAGGUUACCGGAAUACCUGGUGUAGUGGUGAAAUACGUAGAUAUCAGGUGGAACACCGGAGGCGAAGGCGGGUAACUGGACGAACACUGACACUGAGGCCCGAAAGCGUGGGGAUCAAACAGGAUUAGAAACCCGUGUAGUCC